rnacentral:rRNA from 1 species
GAUUAACGCUGGCGGCAUGCCUAAUACAUGCAAAUCGAACGAAGCACUUGUGCUUAGUGGUGAACGGGUGAGUAACACGUGAGCAACCUGCCCCGGACUCUGGGAUAACAGUUGGAAACAGCUGCUAAUACCGGAUACGAGCUGCGAAGGCAUCUUCAGCAGCUGGAAAGAACUUCGGUCUGGGAUGGGCUCGCGGCCUAUCAGCUUGUUGGUGAGGUAAUGGCUCACCAAGGCGUCGACGGGUAGCCGGCCUGAGAGGGUGACCGGCCACACUGGGACUGAGACACGGCCCAGACUCCUACGGGAGGCAGCAGUGGGGAAUAUUGCACAAUGGGCGCAAGCCUGAUGCAGCAACGCCGCGUGAGGGACGACGGCCUUCGGGUUGUAAACCUCUUUUAGCAAGGAAGAAGCGAAAGUGACGGUACUUGCAGAAAAAGCGCCGGCUAACUACGUGCCAGCAGCCGCAGUAACAC